GAUGAACGCUGGCGGCGUGCUUAACACAUGCAAGUCGAACGGGAUCCAAGGGGUGCUUGCACUUUUUGGUGAGAGUGGCGCACGGGUGAGUAACACGUGAGUAACCUGUCCUUUUCUUUGGGAUAAGCAUUCAAAAGGGUGUUUAAUACCUUAUGUUCUGUCUGCCUCGCAUGGGGUGGGUGGGAAAGGCUUUGGCCGGAUUUGGGUGGGCUCGCGGUCUAUCAGCUUGUUGGUGGGGUGAUGGCUUACCAAGGCUUUGACGGGUAGCCGGCCUGAGAGGGUGGUCGGUCACAUUGGGACUGAGAUACGGCCCAGACUCCUGCGGGAGGCAGCAGUGGGGGAUAUUGCACAAUGGGCGAAAGCCUGAUGCAGCGACGCCGCGUGGGGGAUGAAGGCCUUCGGGUUGUAAACUUCUUUUGCUCUGAACAAGGCAUGCCAGUGGGUGUGUUGAGUGUAGGGGUUGAUUAGCGCCGGCUAACUACGUG
rnacentral:rRNA from 1 species